UGAAAGCAGAGAGAACCUGCACAGGGC
rnacentral:piRNA from 1 species